GAAAUCCAAAGCUUAUAAUGCAAUGGUUUUCAAUUUUUGCUAAUGGGGGUGGAUUGGAUCACAAAAAGGGUGCCAAAGCAUUAUCACAAUUUGCAUUUGUGAAUCGUGAUAUAUGUUGGGAGGAGCUUGAGUGGAAAGGAAAACAUGGGCAAUCCCCUGCUGUGGUGGCUACAAAGCCUCAUUACUUUCUUGAUUUGAAUGUCCAACGAACAGUGGAAAAUUUUCUUGACAAUGUACCUGAAUUUUGGUCUUCCACUGAGUUUGCUGAGUCCUUGAGAGAUGGUGAUAUUUUGUUCAUUGAUACCAAGUACUUUGUCGAAUUUUUUGUUGGCUUGAUGUACAAAGAGGAUUCAAGAGAUGUAUGGGAAGUUAUAAGUCAGUUUCUUAUGAAUGAAUCUUUUUCCUUUUUGUGUAACAGCCUCCUUAUCACUCUUGGAGACAGGGAAUUGUUCACUGUUCUGGAAUUGCUUCAUAUUUAUUUAAGCAUGAAUAUGGAACCAGUGGAUUUUGGUAACUCAUCUUGUUGGCUUGAGUUUGCACUUUCUAGAUUCAAUGAUUGUGAAUCUUUUGAUUAGCUGCUUCUGUUAAAUGCUGUUAUCAAUCAUGGACUGCCAGCUUCUGCGGCUUGUGCAUGAUGUAGAGUCGCAGGAGGAACAAACAAAAAUCAAGGACAUUGUAUCUCAGAUAUGCACAAUCUCAAGCACGGGAAACAGCUUGGAUCCUUUACUGAAUGAAUGCUUCAAGAUGAAGACAACAGAAGCAAUUAAGUUCUUGGGGCUUCAGUCUUGGGUUAUUCAUUAUGCAUUAUCAGACGAAAGCCGAAUUUCAGAAUCCUGGGAAUCUUUAUUUUCAAAUAAUGGUAUAAGUUUCCAAAAGUCUGAUAAAUAUGCAAUGCUACAUCACGUCGGAUUGUCAGAAGAAAGUGACUAUGAAUUGGAUAAUGUUGCAUCAGUUAAGAGAAAGCGCAGGAAGAAAAAGAAAAGUAGAAAAAAGAAAAGGAACUUUGAUGAUGAGGAAUUCUAUGAGAAUGAGCUGCUGGAUCUCGACACCUCAAAUGAUCAGCUAGGUUUGCAAUCUAAGGCUGGAAGUUGGUUGCUUUCCACGGAUGGAUUUUCUGCAUCAUGGACCGAUGUUCAAAAUCGGCAGUUCGAACCAGCCAGGUCUGGUGCAGUUAAGGAGGGGAGGCCUAUAACUAGCGCGUAAUAAACAGUCCUGGUCCUAUUCAUGUUCAAACUGGCAAGAGCUAGCCAUGAAUCCCAAAAAUCUUCCCAUUUCCCAAAUGGGCAAACCCAUCAUUGGGCAAACCCAUCAUUGGGAAAACCAACAAAGAAGGCAGCACUUGGAAAAUUAUUGCUAUGACACCCAGCAAAGAACCUCUGGAAAGAGGCAGUCAAGAAACCUCAGCAAGAAAGAAGAAAAGUGACCAAGAGUUUACAGCAGAUAGGAAUGAAAUGGGUUGACUUGCCUGACCACCUCUCAAAGUUUUACUUUUCUACAUGGAUGAAAUGGGUUUUUGCUAAGUGAUGCUGCUUACUAUUUGCAGCAUAGAUGGGCAAUAUCUUGUUGCAAGCAGAAUUCUCUCUGGUGCCAUAUAUGCUCAACUGAUUAACUUAGGUAAUUCAUAUUAUAUCAAUCAUCAUCAACUUUAGAGGUUGUUACAUUUCAGUUCCUCAUAUUCAAUUUGUUACCAUAAAUUAAAAAUAUUACAUAAACAUCCCUCAUUCUUAAAAAUGUUACAUAAAAAAUCUCUUAAUUCAUUUUCCGUUCAUUUGUCAGAUGGAACUGGCAUGUGGCAGUAUCACAGUGAAAAUAAGAACUUAAAGAAAUUAAACGUGCCACACAGCCAACACACUAUCUUCUUGAGGUGUAUCAUGUAUGAGGAUAGGAAAUAUCUUAUGUGGCAUUUUCUAUUUUUUAAUUUUUAUUUUUAUAUUGUGAUACUGCCACAUAUCAGUUCUAUUAUAGAAAUGAACAAUAAAUAGUGGAAAUAAUUUUUAUAUGACAUUUUUAAAUAUUAUAAAUUUUGUGGUUAAAAUUAAAGACAAGGAACUGAAGUGUAACUAUCUCCAAAUCGAGAGAUGGUUAAUAUAAAUUACCUGAUUAACUCGGGAUCUGCUGGUGGAGUACAUAUCAGAUGGUGUGUUAGCAUGUCCAGACUAUACUACGGAAUCCCAUACUUUUUAGGGAUUAAACUUUGCAGAAGAACAUUUCAUCAGCAAUCAUUACUGCCAUAAGGUUUCAGAGUGCAACCCUGCAUACUGAUCAAUGUGAGGUGGGAGAGCCAGCCACACACAUAGAUGUGCAGGAUGAAGAAUUGAUCAAAACUUUUUGCUCGGAAUCUAAGUACUUGUUUGGUUCACUGUAGAGAUGGAAUGAGAAUUACUUGGUUCAGAGAACUCCACAUCUCUUCCUCCCUCUCCUUUGCUCUUUCCCUGCCACUUGUAUCUGUGGAAUCAGAUUUUCUUAAAUUGAUGUGUCACAGAUAAUCUGCCUCCGGCUAGUGCACUGGUUUGCUGGGAUUAUCCCUUGAUUUCACAACUCAUAAGCUCUAGACUCCAAUUCUGUAAGUUCAAGGUCUCAAUGUUGUUACCAAUUUCUAUCGCUUUUGAGAUGCUUAUGUGACAAUGUAAGAGAGGUUUCCAUAUCUAUGUGGAACAAAUUAGGUCCAAAUUGCCAACUCAAUGAACUGUAAAAACUUGAAAAUCAAGCUAGAAAUAUUUAUGUACUUGUAAAUUUUGUUCAGAAU